rnacentral:rRNA from 1 species
UACCAGCACCCCGAGUUGUCGGGACGAUUAUUGGGCCUAAAGCAUCCGUAGCCUGUUCUGCAAGUCCUCCGUUAAAUCCACCUGCUUAACGGGUGGGCUGCGGGGGGAUACCGCAGAGCUAGGAGGCGGGAGAGGCAAACGGUACUCAGUGGGUAGGGGUAAAAUCCAUUGAUCUACUGAAGACCACCAGUGGCGAAGGCGGUUUGCCAGAACGCGCUCGACGGUGAGGGAUGAAAGCUGGGGGAGCAAACCGG